UACGUAGGUGGCAAGCGUUGUCCGGAUUUACUGGGCGUAAAGAGCGCGCAGGCGGUCGAUCAAGUCGCGUGUGAAAGCCCCCGGCUCAACUGGGGAGGGUCACGCGAUACUGAUCGACUCGAAGGCAGGAGAGGGUAGUGGAAUUCCCGGUGUAGUGGUGAAAUGCGUAGAUAGUCGGGAGGAACACCAGUGGCGAAGGCGACUACCUGGCCUGUUCUUGACGCUGAGGCGCGAAAGCUAGGGGAGCAAACGGG
rnacentral:rRNA from 1 species